GGUGUGAUGGCCGAGUGGUUAAGGCGACAGACUUAAGUUCUGUUGACGCAAGUCGCGCGAGUUCGAACCUCGCUCACAUCA